GUGGGCAUGCCGGAGUAGUUAACGGGCAUGACUUGAAAUCAUGUGGGCUCUACCUUCGCAGGUUCAAAUUCUGCUGCUCAUG
rfam:Ipomoea nil DNA, scaffold: scaffold1237, cultivar: Tokyo-kokei standard.